GUCCAGGUCUCUGCAUGCUGAAGCUGGAUGAAGGGUCAGGGUAAGCUGGGGAGGCAGGAAGGGGUCAGUGCAGGAGUGUGAUGAUCACCAGAGGCCUUGUGUCAGGGUUGUUAUGAGAAGGGAAGGAGAAAUACCUCUUUAAAUAAAAGCUUGGGCAUGUUUAGAGCAUGUGCAGAUGCUGAUAGGAGGGACCCUAUAGAGAAGGAGAAUUGAUGGAUAGCGUGUGGUCCUGAGAGUGUCAGAGGGAUAGGAUUUGUAGCUCAGCUCAGGGUUGGCCUGGGACACAAGUAGCAACACCUGUGUGUGAAAAGAGACCAGGAAAGGGGGAUGCAGUGCAGGUGGGCCUUUCUUACAGGUGGCUCACGGGAAGGUGAGGGAGUGCUGGCAGCGACCGUGUUUGCUCUGUGUUAGGAGACUUUGACCUCUGCACUGAUCAGGUCAGUUGCUUUUCUCCACACCACCCUGCCUUCAUGAGAAGAAGAACUUCUGACUGAAACAGAUUCUCAAUUUCCCUGUGUUCUUGGUGGGAAAAAGAGGCCUUACUUACUCAAGGAGGAGCAGGCUGCCAGAGUGUGUGAGACCUGACUAGUGCCUUGCUGGCCUCAGCUCCGCCAUUGCAUGUUCAUCUGAACUAGGACCCAAGGGUACUUGGAGAAGGUGUUGGGUGCGGAUUUCUACAAACUGCCAAGGGCUACAGCAAUGAGAACUCUCUCAGCGGUAGACCUGCUUCAGCAUGAAGGACUGCACUUAAAGGGAUGCAUACUAUUCCAGCUCAAGCAACAGAUACUGAAGUGCAGAUCACUGUCCUUUGUUGAAAAGGAUCAGCAGUUUGUCAACAUAGGUAACACGCCAGAGCAAGCCUUGGGAUGCAACUCUGAAAACAGGUUAGGCCCUCUUUUCCCCAAGCCCUGCAAUAAAAUACAAA
ensembl:lncRNA